AUGGAACAGGAUGCCAUGAAGAGAAAUAAAGUCAAGACCAAGAGGACCAAGAGAAACAUAGUGGAGCAGGUCACUGAUACAGAUGCAGGUCCCUCUACAUCUGUGGAAUCCUCUGGGAUGGCAGUUCAGGGGACAUCUCACCAGGGACAAUCUAAUGAAAAGAUCCUAAGUGAGUGUGUCUCCAGGGCCUGUCAGACCAGGGCUCUUGACCUCCCGCCAAUCAAUCCGGAUGCUUUCAACCCGAUUAUCAUCCGGUUUCUGGAAAAACUUACUGAGGAGCAAUGGAGGCAGUUAAGCAUUGGCAGGAUGGACCCUGUGAUGAGGGCAUUGCUUGCAGAGAUGUGCCUGGAGAUUGUGCGGUUUGUAUCUGAGGCCAUCCUGGAGGUCAUCAUCCCUGCAAUUUUCCGUUUUGUACGGAUAUACAGCCAUGUGUCUCCAGUAUCCGGCAAGUCUCUGACAGAAUCAGAGAGAUCUUCUAGCACAAACCUGAAGGUUCGAACGAGAGGCAGCAGCAAAUCCUCAAGGUCUUGCACGGCCAAAUCAAGCUCCUCUCGUAAUGGGUAUGUUCAGUCAUUCCUAAAGAAACCGGUUUCACCUAUUUCAGGGUACAUAUAACCCAUUUUGUGAAAAUAUGUUUUGUUAUCUGUAUAACAGUUUACUCUUAAUGACCAGUUUAACUGAUUACUGAAUUAUGCAUUAAUGUGACUACAGUGUCUACUAUUGAAUAUGGAAUGCUGUAUUGUUUGCUUUGUAUUCUCAAAGGUCUCAGACAGUGUUGCCAAAUACUCAGGGAGAUGGUGAGUCUAUAUCAUCUGAGCCACUCAGUGACUUUUUUGGGAUCACUGAGGACAGUCUCCUCACUAGUGUCCAGGAUUCCUUCAAAGAGUCGCUGAACAAUGUCCUCUGUAUCCAAAGAGAGGGCCAGGUAGACACUCAAAGUCUAUCCCGGGUUAUUGUUGGAGAAGUGUCAAAGAAGGUCAAUUCCAUAAUCUCUGUGGCCAUCCAAACUCCCAUCUCUGGGCGAAUAUCCCCUGUCAUUUUUGCCAGUGGUGGUGUCUCCA
rnacentral:lncRNA from 13 species